GUUUUUCCCCCCUCUUUACUUUCCCUGUUUUGCUUGGUGAUGUUCUAAAAGUUCCUCGGGUCUUUCUACACUAUUUCUCCUCAGAGCAACUCCUGUUAACAUCUCUUUGAAUUACUAAUUCUUUUGUUAAAUUGUGUGUGUGUGUGUGUGUGUGUGUUUGUGUGUGUGUGUGUGUAUGUGUGUGUGUGUGUGUUUGUGUGUGUGUGUGUUUGUGUGUGUGUUUUUGUGUGUGUGUGUGUGUAUGUGUGUGUGUGUGUGUUUGUGUGUGUGUUUUGUGUGUGUGUGUGUAUGUGUGUGUGUGUGAAUGCCAUGUCUGUGCAGGUGCCUGCAGAGGCUAGAAAAGCCCGUGGAGCUAGAGUUACAGAUGGUCCUGAAUAGCAGCCGUGGAAGCUCAGAACCAGACUCUUGUCUUCUGGAAGAACAGCAAGUGUUCUAACUUGUGGGUCAUCCCUCCAGCUCCAGAAUUGUUGAUUCUUUCUUCUUGGUAAAGCCUGCUAUUGAAUCCCUUUCAUGAAAAUUUCAGAUGGUAUCCAGACAGGAAACAAG
rnacentral:lncRNA from 1 species